GAUGAAGAACGCAGCGAAAUGCGAUACGUAAUGUGAAUUGCAGAAUUCAGUGAAUCAUCGAAUCUUUGAACGCAUAUUGCGCUCUCUGGUAUUCCGGAGAGCAUGCUUGUUUGAGUAUCAGUAAACACCUCAACUUCCAUAUCUUUUUUGAAAUGGGAGUUGGACUUGAGUGAUCCCAACGCUUUUCCUCACCGAAAAGUGGCGGGUUACUUGAAAUGCAGGUGCAGCUGGACUUUUCUCUGAGCUAUAAGCAUAUCUAUUUAGUCUGCCUAAAAAACAGAUUAUUACCUUUGCUGCAGCUAACAUAAAGGAGAUUAGUUCUUGUGCUGACUGAUGCAGGAUUCACAAAGACGGCUUCGGCCGACUUUGUAAACUCGAUCUCAAAUCAAUAAGACUACCCGCUGAACUUAAGCAUAUCAAUAAGCGGAGGA
rnacentral:misc_RNA from 1 species